GACGAACGCUGGCGGCGUGCUUAACACAUGCAAGUCGAACGGAAAGGCCCUGCUUGCAGGGUACUCGAGUGGCGAACGGGUGAGUAACACGUGGGUGAUCUGCCCUGCACUUCGGGAUAAGCCUGGGAAACUGGGUCUAAUACCGGAUAGGAGCCAUUUUUAGUGUGAUGGUUGGAAAGUUUUUUCGGUGUAGGAUGAGCUCGCGGCCUAUCAGCUUGUUGGUGGGGUAAUGGCCUACCAAGGCGGCGACGGGUAGCCGGCCUGAGAGGGUGGACGGCCACGUUGGGACUGAGAUACGGCCCAGACUCCUACGGGAGGCAGCAGUGGGGAAUAUUGCACAAUGGGCGCAAGCCUGAUGCAGCGACGCCGCGUGGGGGAUGACGGCCUUCGGGUUGUAAACUCCUUUCGCUAGGGACGAAGCUUUUUGUGACGGUACCUGGAUAAGAAGCACCGGCUAACUACGUG
rnacentral:rRNA from 1 species